UGGAACAGGACUUGCUGUAACCAGUGCUGA
rnacentral:piRNA from 1 species